AUUCAACCGAUUUCUCUGCAAGAAAACGUGUUCAUGCUGUUCGUGGGGAUGAAUGUUACCCUCUUUAAAGGUAUGCUAGGCUUCAAAGCACUUCACUAACCCGCUGGCGCGUGAACAUACCUAUUCCUGAAGUAGAGAUGCUUCGCGAUAGUCUUGGAAAUAAGCGGUACAUAAUAGACUGGGAAGACUUUGUGGGUGCAAAAAAUGAAGCAACUGAAACAACCCUUUACGAUUUAUGCAAGCAAGACACCGCCGCUAUCGUGG